UGCCUUUAGUGACAAUUUGGAAAAUCUGACAUUUUGUUAAAUUAACUGUGAUGAAAAGACAGAUCACAGUGUAAUUAUCUAUCUAUUUUUCAUAGGUUAAAGAUGAAAAGAACAGCAUAAGCCAUAAAUGACCUUCAUCACGUCUGGCCAACAGCUGGGUUACUCUGUGUGUAUCAGCAAGGUCCCUGUUAUCCUGCACAGGCAGGGGGAGGAAGAGGAGAAACCCCCCAGGAGGUGGAAGAGGAGGAGGAGGAGGAGGAGGAGGAGAAAGAAAUUAGCCUCAGACGUCAGUGCCAUUGAUUGAACCACUGCAUGUCCGCGCUCAUUCAUAAACAAGGGAAACCUGCGUCGCGCUUGUCAAAGAUGUGUCUCCAUGACGAUGAAGAGAGCUGGCAUGCCUCCCAGCAACAUCUGUAAAAAAACCUCCAAUGAGGCUGCAAUCACACAAUAACAGAAACCAAAGCUAGAAAUCAAAGAUUUCCACCUCCGAGGUGCACAGUAAGUCUUGACAGAAUCUUAAGGAGGUAAUUUGCCACAUUUGGAUUUUGAAAGCUUUUUAUGUUUAUGGUUAUGUUUUACAAGAAAGGUGAACACACACACACACACACACACACACACACACAGUGCGCUGUGUUGAUCAGGGCAUCAAAUGACAGUAUGAGUCCAACAGAGCAGAGCUGAGAUGUCAUUACAGUCCCACAGCGGACCAAUCACAGGAGCCGGAUCUCGCCCCUAAUAAGGAUAAAGUUCAAACACACACUUAAAAUAGAUAUCAGUUUUUGUCAUAAUACUACAGUCACAACGGGCUGACAACAUGCUCUAGAAUUUGGCAGAUGAGCCAAAUGAUUCCUGACUUGGAGUCGAAAGCCGGACACGGAAGCAGUAAUCCAAGAGCUUUUUGUAAAUGGCAACUAUAGAGGUGUCCGUGGGAAAUGAAGGCAAAGUAAGGACACAGACAUCCAAUUACAAAGUGAUCUAUGCACAGCGUCCUGAUCACAGCGUACGCUACGCAGCGAGUGCGUGAUGCUCUUCAGCUGGUCGAGAGACGGCAGCUACAGGGUUCACCAAAAAAACUACAAUCAAGCUCAGGUCUCAAUGUCUUAGAGGAGUGAGAGCACGCUUGCUUAGACAGGAGGCCUCGUUCGAAUCACUUUGAUCAAAGUGCUGACAGUUAAAUCCGCAACAGACUUCGUAAAUCCCAAAAGUAUGUUGAUACAAACAAAGAACUCCUAAUUAGUGGAAGGAUCACAGAGGGUGUGUGAAACACAACGGAAGUUGCAAGGCUUCAUUUCAGCAGCAUCAUGGUGGAAUGUGGCUUGGAUCAUCGGCAGUGACGCAGACGCCCUGGCCGGCUUUCCACACUCGGGCGUCUUAUUUCGGGGCACCCUCCAGGGCAGAGCACAGAGCGCAGAGCCGUAUGGUGCAUGACUGGAGAAGUGAGAUUACUCAUACCGAUGUGCAGUCUAGUUUUGCAGGAGCUCUCUCUGGGAGCUGUGAGGUGAGUUCAUGCUGCACGUUAACCCCUCGGAGAUGCAUCAUCCCAGUAAAGCCGCGGCGUCCCUCUUUUAGCCAAAAAUACCUUUAAACGAGGACAGUCCUUGGGUCUCCACGAUGCAUGAAAUCCCACAUUUAAAAUAGAAACAUGAGUCACUGUAACCAGCAAGCACUGUACACAUACAGGGUGAUUCCAGCUAGAGAUAAUAUUGACGAAGACAACAACUCAUCGCAUAUUGUGCAAUGGAGGAGUAGUGUUUAGCAGGGCUUGUCUAUUGACAAGAAUCCGGUGCAACAAAACAUAUAUCGUUAUAGGUCCAUGAUACAAUAUGUUGCAAUGUCUUGUGAUAUAAGUAAGCAAAGUUUUUGUAUGAAAUGUGCUGCAUAAAUGAACAUUUCUUGCCAUGGCAAGUCCUAAACUGCUUGUAAAAUUAGUGAAACUACUAUGUAAAAUAUUCAUUUCUUAUCAUGUAACUUGAAAACUGCAUGAAUAUAAACAUUGACUGGUAUUGUAGGAAGAGCUCUGUCAAUGCGGUGGGAAAGCAACUACAAAUUCCUCUUGAAGACACUUUUACCCGUUUACACCACUGAGAAGUAAGAGAAGCUUGCCAUGACUGACAUUAAACAAAUUGGUAAAAAUCAGCAGAGCAAAUUAGUUUUUAGACAAUGUGCAAUUUAUAGUUCAAUAAAAGGUCUCCCAAAAUAGCCUUACACUGGGAUGAACCGUGCACAAUGCGCUUGUGAAAGUUAAUUUAUUCCCCAUGGCAAUAUGACAGCAGACAAAGUAACACUGCACAACCAUUCAACACUUUUCUAUUGUCAAACAAGCAGCAGGGCAUUAAAUAAAAAGAAUGGUGUAACUUUGGCAAACCAAAACUUUCCUUUGUUUGUGCUUGAGCCUUUGAGUGGCUCAUGGAACAUAGGCUGCUGAUAAAGUGCAUCCAUCCCCUUCUGUCUUGAGCCAUCUGGAUGCAGGCGAUGCCGAGGCAGUCAUCCCGCCUUCAUCUCCCCUUCGGGGCAGCAAAUUACCACCAGCCAAAUGCUGACAAAUUUUUGGAAGCGGCCAGUAAAUCUUUCUAGCAGCCACUGUGGCAGGUCACCAAUCUCGUCCACAGGUUGUGUUUUAUUCAAAACAUAGUUGACUGGAAAAAGCAUUCAAGACAUGCAGUUGGAUUUAGAAGGCCGGACGAGACUGUGUGGCUUCCUCAUCUCCGACUUGUGGGCUGCGUGUCAAAUAAGGUCUCCUGAUCCCUUGUUGUUGAGGCUUUGUACAAGCGGCAUAACUCCCUGCAUUGCACACACACACACACACACACACACACACACACACACACGCAAACUGUCUCCAGCCUCGGUUACAGUCUGGUGGGCACUUUUGAAAGCAACUGGGCAGAAACCUGCAGGCAGCACCUGCUAGUCUGAGUGGGAACUUAAACUUUGUGUCUCUGAGAAAGUUCAAACAGACGGCAGAGAGAAGGCCGGCGCAUUAUUUGUCUGUCUGCGUUGGGGCACCGUUCAAGGCGCGAUCCUCCCGUCAUCGAUGGCAGACUGCAACCCGGAUUAAUUAUUAAUUAUGUAUUAAAAAGCGAAAUGGCUAAUGUUCCAUCAAAAUGAAUUGUAAAUAUAAUUUGCCCUCCCACUCACAAAUACUACGUCCCCAUUAUCAUUCCACUGCAAAGCUAAAACCAUAAGCACACAAGUGCCGGAAGAAGAGGGGGGGGGGGUACAUUCUUCGUUACCAUAGGAACACAAGUGGUGGUGACUGUGUAAAGCAAAUAACACACAGUCAUUUUAAAAAGGGUGUGAAUUAACACCCAGCAUUAAAGGCCUAACGUAAACUUAUGGCGAGACAGAGACAAAGCGCAUUUUCUGUGCCGCAUUCACAGGCCGAUGUUGGCGUACGACAUUCAAACCUGCAGGACGUCUCCGGCCUUUCAGCGACACUUUCCCCGAUUAUCUCCUCUGUCUGCAGCUCUUGGCUUCGGGGGCGCUUGGCCUCAGACCUCUCCAGACUUAGCGGCUGGAGGUUAAUUGAUACCGACAGAUGACGUAACGUUGGAAGUCGCUCGCCGGGAGAUCUGGCUUCUUUAUCCACGACAGCACUCGUCACACACACGCGGACGGAGUCAACAGAUGUGAUUCUGUCCAGAAGGCUCUUGUUCCCACAUGCACAUGUGAUGUGUCACAGGGCUAACGACUAAAUCCACGCUACAAUUUGUAAGCGAUAUCAAUGACUUUGUUUAAUUCUCCGUGACACAAAUGUGGUCAUUAUCGCCUGUACACUUAAAGGUUAAAUUUAAGGCUUAACAUCUGUUUUACUUUGUAUGAUAUGACGAUAUCAGAGCAAAAAUGAAGCUAGCAUUGUCCUGCCCAAGUGUAACAAAAUUAGCUGACCAGAAUGAAAGCCCCUGUGGAAAAACAGAAAAAACAUCAGAACUUUUGUUCUUCUCACCUGCUCAAAGGCUGGCUGGCUGAUUGAUAUUCUUGAGGAUUUUAAUACUAAAGAACCUCCUCCAAAGCUCGCCUGGAUGGAAUUGAUUUUCCUAAAGAAUAAUUCAGCUGUGGCAUAGUAGAAACUUGUGAAAAUGCCUCAAAGGCCGAACCCCAUGGGUUUGAAGUUAAAGAUGUUCUGGCGUGAUUCUCCACGGUGUAAAAAUGACUCUCUGGAGACUGGAUCCAAUCUUUUAACUAUAGAACAGAUUUAAUACAGGUACGUCAACGUUUGACCUAUUGUCUCCUGCUCCUUUCUCAGACAUAAAAUAUUAAUUUAUCCUCAGUGCACAGAUUAAUAAAAAGCUUAUUGCUGACAGCGCAGAAAAUCCCUGAAACGCUCAUUUCAUUUUCUGUUCUCAACAUAGUUCUUUAAGCAUAAUUUCCUGACUCGAAGUCCUCAUGAAUCACACAUGAUAUAGACAUAAAUGCACGAUUGUGCAAAUGAAUGCCUUCAUUCGUUUCGAAUCAACCCAACAGUCACUAAAUGAAAAGUCCUGCUAUGUUUUUCAUUCAACGUCCAAUUCAAUAAAAAAUGCAUGCAGGCAAUGAAAUAUGUCACUUGCACUUGAUGUAGCAUUAAAAGCCGCAGUCUUCUAUUAUAGUUUAUGAAUUCGCUCUCUCUCACACACACACAGCUGUCUCUGACAGAAGCAAUGCAUCAGACAAUAGUUGCUGCUGCCCGUGACAAAAGAUGGAAAAGAUGAGAGAAACGAUGAUCCAUUCGAUGGGGAAAACUGCAGCACUUUAACGUUUACAGAAUGCAAACCCAUUAAGUUGGAUAUAAUGCUCCGUAGAAUCUUCUUCCCACCCUGACUGCCUAUUUUCAGCACCAAACACAAACAAAAAUCGACUGUAUUGUCUCUGCGUUUUACAUAUCUACAAAAUAUUGGUUCAAAGGUGAGUUGGACUCAAACCAUUAUUCCUUAUUGACUUGACUUGCAUAAUCUACACCGUCACAUAAGAGAAGCAGGCGAGAUUUUUGAAUUGCACAAAAUGCGGUCUGCAACUCUGUGUCAGGUCCCAAAUAUUUUGCACAUUCAAAGCAUUUCAGUCCAUUUAUAUCAUCACCUCACCUCACCUCUCUUUUCACACCCACCAAAGUAACACCAUAUUGAAUUUUCCCAAUAGAAGUGCAAGUGCCGACCUUUCUGACAUCUAUUUCAGCCUUGAGCCAUAAAUCUGAGCCUGGGACCCGUCCAGAAGUGGUAAAUACCCAUGAAGAGGCAGUGGGGAUGCAAAGCAACACAGUUGGUAUUCAUAGUGGCAUUUUCCAAAGUUGAAGCUGCAUAAAUAGCCCAAACUAUUACAUAACAGUAAACAAACCACAUUGUGCCAAACCAUACGAGCUCUGUACUGCAGCAGGUGGGUAAACCGACAAGGGACACUGAUAUAAUAUCAUGCGUUUAGUUUGUGGUAGAGAACCGGCAAAUACGUUGUUGAGAUGGAAACAGAAAAGAGAAGUCAGUAAGAGUGAAGUUCUUUUGUCUUUUUUGUAGAGCAAUGUUUGGCACAUGACGUCUCGCAGUAAGUGUCAAACCCUCUUUCCCCUGAAAUCACAGCUCGUCGCUCCAAUAAUGAGGAUCACACCAGCAUACGCACGUUUAGACCCGUUAAUUCCUGUUUAUUCCUGUUUAUUCCCGUACCUGAGCCACUAGCAGCCAAGCAUCUCCUCACAACAACCAGGAUGCAGCAAGUUAGAGAAGGUGGGAAGAGAGAGUACAGGGACGGAGGGGAAAAGGUAGAAAACACAACCAUGUCGUCCGAAAAGGAGAGAAGGACAAGAAUUAUUUAGAAUAUGUUGGAAUAAAGAACGGAAAGUACGUAAGAGAAGGUCAAACCAGCAUUUAAAACAACAAUUCAAUCCAACAUAAUUGUCAUGUAGUAGUUUGACUAGUUUUUGUUAUUUGUUGGUGGACAUUUAAAACUGCCAACUCGCCAAAUACCAACACUUGGACCCCAGUACAACGCGGCGGGCACAGCGUGUCCUUACAAACAGAGUGUCUUUCGCUACUUGGAGUCCCUGUUCAUACUCGUACACGACUUCCUCCUCUAUGCUAAUAAUGGGCAUGUCUCUGCAUUGCCAUUAACUCAAUGGGUGUCUAUGGCUGCCUGACAUCCAUGUUGGAAGUGGCCCAGCAAGGAAGCGGACCUGAUGUCACUAGUUCAAUCCACAGCAGCGCCCUAUGAAUCAUGUUUUUUGGAUUGUUUCCCCGCUGCUGGUAGCCACAUGUUUCACCCGCUCUUCAGUGGCUGAUUUGAGGCACACGAUUCAUUUGAGCUCGAGUUCAAAUCCUGCCGCAGCAACGGGCCCGGACUUAGAGCCACGUCCUUCGGAAGGAGAUUGGUCGCUGAUGAAUGCUUCCUGCAGCUUAUACGUUUCGUACAACAGCACACGGCAGAAAGGAUGCCUUCAUAGUUAACGUUUUUCCGGGGCAUGGGUCAUAAAAGAGACGGUUAUAAGUCUGGUACGUCCUCAUUCCAGUUUGGAGAUGCACACACUGUGGAUAAUUUAUCUACCUCUCAUUUUCUCCGGGCUUUUAAACAACGGGGAAGCAGAACUAAAGUCUGUCGUGUGUGACGUACAGUAAAGCAGACUUAGCCUCUGAACAAAACCGCCUCCCUUUACUCAAGCAAGACGAAGAUAAAACAGAACGCCAAUAAACACCUAAUUUAGGACAGAGUAAAUUAAUAGGUGCUGACAAGCUCGAUAAUUUUUCAGAGGCAAGAGAUAACGGUUAUAAUUAUCAGUCGCGGUAUUAAACAGUCAACGGAGAAACACUUGGCUCUGAGAGUGUGUGUGUAUGGAUGCACUAUUGCCAAAGCUGCGCCCAUUAAUUGCAAACCUCGAGUGUUAAUGUGAAAUCGUGUGGUUUAUUACAGUCCAGUGUGAGCAAAAGACCGGCUCCACAAACCCGUUUUCAUGCCAGCUUAUGCUCCUCGAACCAGAACAUAUCUUUUUCCUGAAGCCACUGUGUUGCCAGAGAACAACUGUAGCCCCUCUCUGCAAAAAGAGGUCUUCUUUUUUUCUUUCUUUCCAGCUUGCAUUUCAUGCCUCGUGGUAGGGAACAUUUGCUGCUCCCAUAAUUCAUUACUCCAGGACAUUUAGGGCAGUAGUUCAUCAAUGAUACGCUCUUCUGCAUCGCAAGCCUGCGUUGACAGGUUUUAGGAGGGAGUCAGGAGUGACCCAAAGUGUGUCAAAGAGAGUUCUGCAUUGCAACAAGCUUGUGUAUUGUCUUUGACUUUAGUAGGGACUCGAAACACACACACACACACACACAAACAACAUAGUAUAAAUGAACAUUUCUGAGCUUGCCAGGUCAGUCGCACAGAAAAACACACUAACGUCUCCCUGAGCUUGUUACUCUGGUUGCCCGAGCGGGGUGAAUGUGGAGAGCGCAGCUGCCCUCUAUGGGUGUGAAAACACAACACUGGCUGAGAGGCAGCUCAGAUUUGUCCUUCUCCUGCUGCUGCUGCAUCGUAGCUGGAAGAAAGAGAAUGAUAAUUGUUGGAGCUCAGGUGUUAAAUACUAAUCAGUCAGCUUAUCUUGGUAGUGUCGCAUAGCCAUCAAACGGGGCUCCUGAGGCACAGAAAAUGAGGAGCUUUUCUCCGUCAGUGAAGUAUAACAUAUUUUCCCCGCUUGGAAUGAGGCAUUUUAUAUUUGUGGAAUACACUCUGAAAACCCUCCACACUCGGCUACCUCCCGCUUCAAACGCUGUACUUCUUUAUGCCGAGUUCGAUACAUCACAAGGUGAGGCCGUGCUUCUCUACGCUUGGUCCUCCCCGCGCUGCCGUGUCGAGAAAAAACAACUAAAAAACAACAUGAAAACACAACACUGCACCGGUGAUGCAUUUUUCAUAGAGCGGGGGUCAAAUAAGCGCCCCUUUGUCUGCAACGACGGGGCUCUUAAAAAAAGGGCCGCAGGAGGCCGCGGCUGGUAUCUCAAAGACGACUGGCUUCUCCUCUGCACCACAGUGGCCUCUAGAGAGCAUUGUAGCUCAGGAGGGAGGCUGGACAUUAAUCCUCCCCGCGACUCAGAGCUCUUCCCCCUGAUCACACCCAACACGCGGUGAUGUGUGAUCCAACUAAGACCAGGGGGGAAUGAAAGGAAUAUUUGAGACCCCCCUCCCCCACCCCCCAUCCUCAAACGUUCAUUACCAUGCCAAAGCUGGUCACGAUGUGGUUGUAAUGGAAACAACACUGUUAAAUGCAAAAAUGCCAACAAAAAAUAUUUUAAAACUAUCCACACUAAAAGAUGAGAACAUAAAAAGCUAAAUGACGCGGAAAAUAAGUUGUGCUGUGUUCACCCAAACAAUGCUGAAACGCAGUUUGGCCCACUUUUCCAAACCACUCUGCAUAUCCAGCAUGCAACAUAUUCUCCCUCUACCAGUGUCAGCGGGGAUGCAUGAAUCCCCCCCAUUAGAGUUGCGGUAAGUCAGGUAAUAGAACAAUGGUCUGCUCCACCCGGUGCACCUCCCGCCUUUUCAUCCGUGGCCACGAACUCCCAGAGGCCCCAAAAAAGAGGAGCAUUUCUCAGACGGAGGGCGGGAGUGUGAGCAGAGGCCGCGAGCAAGCAGCUUCUCAGACUGUUGCACCAGUUACCGCGGAAACACGCUCCAUUAUGCCGGAUGGGGGACCUUUGGCUGCCAGUGAAAACACUGACCACAUUGCAGCAACACUUACAGUAACGCUGAGGGGAAACACACGGCAUCAAUAAUAAUGAAUCACUCACUCGCACACUCGUUCAAACACUCAUCUCGCUCGCUUUAGACGCUCACGCACACACUCAACCGAGUCCCCUGCUCGGGCACUUGCUUUUUUUUGCUCGUUUUCCCAUCCAAUAGCUCGCUCAGCAUUCACUCAUCCGCAAACGCACACCCACACACACACACACACACACAAUAUCUCUGUAGGAGUAGAGUGACAAAAACCAGCCAGAGAGAGCAUCGCAGGAUGUUUGACAACUGCAACAACACACAGAGAAGCGUGGCUGAAUGGUAGUUAUUGCCUUGUAAACGAGGUGACACUGUACAUAUAAACAGUGAAGUCACCCCCCACCGAUUAUGUGAAUCUUAAAAAAACAGGUCACGAAUGAGCUCUAAACUCUUGUUGAAGACUAUUUUCCGAUUAAGGGAUAAACAUUUAACUAAGAUACAUCAGCAUGACAUGUCCUUAUUAAAACAAUUAUUCUAAAGUUUUAGUGUUCUGGGAACGUUGUGAUGAAAUGUGCAAAUUAUCCGUUGUCUCAUUAAAUCUAAUUAGCUCAUUUUUAAUUUCCAUACAUUUGCAGAUCAUAAAUCUUAACGCUGUAAAAAGCCAAGAAGCUUCAAAAUAUAUUUUUAAUUGUGUCUAUUUAUUAGAGAUAAGGUGCCCAGGGGGACUUUGGCUUCUGGUUGAGUCGCUCCAUAUAAACAACCCUUAAACAAAAGCGAUUUUUGGAAUGUUUUUUUAAAUAAGAUAUUGUGCAAAUGAAAUCGAAAAACUUUUUAACUUCUGCUACUGAAGUUGAGAUGUGUGGCUCAGCGUAUGAGAAACAAAAUAACUUUAAAAAACCUCUAAAUACAUGCAUUGUAAAAUUCCAUAUUUUUGGUAGAAAGCUAAUAGAUAUCCCAAUUAAACUUCCAGGGUUUACUAUGUUAAACUUUUCUUGUUACAUAAACGUCAUUUCAAUUUGUUGAUAUUGAUUUAUUGUCGCACAAUAUUCUGAAAAAGCAUUUAAUUUCCUGGUAAAUGGACAUGUUUUAUUAAAUUAUUGUUAAGUUGUUCUAUUUGCAACAUCCAUGGACUUAACGGGUACAUUAGGUACCCACAGGAUCAAUUUAAAGCGACUACAAUGUCUAUAUUCAUUGUAAUGAAGGAACAACAGUCCAGCUGUGUGGCUCCCUGAUGCGUUAAUUGUUUUUGGACAACAACAACAAUAACAAUGAGGCUGUCUAACACAUCAAGCAUUGGCUACGGACGUGGAUUUGGUCUUCAAACUGAGAAAAACACACCAGAACUAGAUAUGCUGGUUAAAGUGGAGCAAACACAACAGUGUUAAAAGUUAAAAAAGAAGAAAACUUAUUUUCAUAAAAAAUAUGAUUGAUUUGUUUGUGUGUUUAUUUUUUUUCUCGUCAGCAAGAGUGACAGGUGCAUGGAUGGGAACGUGAGCCACUAAGGCAGAGGGACUACCGACACACUUUACUUCAAGUAGGCCAAUCAGAAGAAAACUAGAGAGCAUAAAAUCCCUGCAGUAUUUAAAUGCAAUAUAUUUACACUCGUUUUUCUGUUGCAUCAUGUUAUUUAUUUUGUUGGAAUGUCCCGUUUUAUUUCUGUUAUCAGAAAUCGUAUGAAUUGUAUUAUACAUUGGAACGCAGCAGCGGCCAUUUUCCUGACGUGUGUUGACGUCGCGUUACCACCGUUGGGUGGGACGAUGUACAGGCGUCCCGUCAUCGCUGGUUUGCGGGGUCAUCCGUAGGUCACUCAGGCUCAGACACCUCUGACCAAGUAGGAAAUGCGACCUGGGACGACUGAUGAAACUCACUACCAGUGCUUUUCAAAAACAAACCCACCUCUUGGACUCGAGGGGGCAUCCUAUUUAAAGGUCAAAUACCGCGGCAGGGAGAGAUUCAGUGGUAUUUACAUUGUAAAGCGCAUGCAGGUCUAUCACCAUGCAGCAUUAUUUUCAAAUCCUUGAAAAAAACGCUGUCCCUUGACAGCCCAGGGGGUAAACGCAUCGCUGGUGGUAGACGACAUGUUUACUGCCGCCUUGUCUUCAUUUCCAUCAUCCAAAAUGAAAUACAGUGAAAACAAUAUUUUUUUUUCCCUCCACAUGUAGAAAGAUUGGAACCACGAACCGAAGCAAAUUUGCUUUUUAAAUCACUGCGAUAUCAUCUGAAUAAAAACAUACCUAAUGUUACAGUCAGUAUCUUAAAAUGCAAAAACAACAUCGGCACGACAGAUGUAACGACCUCCACUACAUUACUUCUACAAAAACAUAUAUCUAAUUUAUUUUUCUUCCAAAUGUAUGCGGAGGCCUGUUCCAAGUUCAACAGGGAAAAUAUAUCCGCUGAGAGAAGUGUGGCUAAGACAACAGUUAAAAUAUCCAGUUUUUAGGGGUCAAAACAGUCGUCCACCACAUCUAAAACCUCCAGUUUGUUAUGUUUUCAUAUUUCAGGAAAUUUUAGUCAACCAUUCAAGUAUCUAACUAAAGGCACCAGGGCUUUAUCGCCAGCGUAAUCCAUUCACACAGCACUUUCACUCCAUUUGUAGAAUAUUUUAAUAAACCCCAAACUCUGCUACAAAUGACAUUUGAAGACAAGAUAUUACAGAAUGUUUACCCAAAUAUGCCAAUUCUAUUCAUGACGGAGGCCUGAAUAAUUUUACAUAAAGAUUACUGAAGAUGAUGAUUUGUACUUCUCAGCUCUUGAAUAUCGUCUAUUUCACCACGCUAACAUUACACAUCACACACACCUUUUCCUUUCUGCGCCCUUAAGUUUCCGUAUGACCGUUUACUUCUGGUCUCUCUACGACAGAACAUCCAAUGAACACCUGUUAUCUACCUGACUUUGAACCCCCCCCCCAAAUGUUCAAUCACAUGUUUGCAACUGAUGAACUCCGCUUGUGACGGAGGUCCUCCAGAUGGUGGAGAUCUUGUUGGAGAUGUUUUCCCAACACUAAUGCUGGUUGAAUGAUUUGCAGCCUGUUAAGGCACAUCUUGCCCUGACGUAACACCAGAACAAAUUGAGCUUGGGAGAAACAGAUGCCGAAAGCAUGGAGGGGUAAUUUAUGUCAGCGCGUUUCAUCUCUACAAUAAUAGCAUAGAGGGGAUACGGGUUUGAAUCUGUUGUGCUGCCAGAUGUCUUGAGCAUGUAGAGACGUUUAUCAGCGUACAGGUGGGAAGGGCACUUCGGAGGAGAAAAAUUAAGGAAUUAAAACAAAACUAAUUCACGUUCAACUUUGGCUGAGUCACAGAUGUAUGAAUCACUCGUUUUAGAUUCAACUUUUCAUUGCUGGCAAACCAUGUGACAACUGGAAUUAAGUAGUGAAUGGGACAGGAUUAUUUGGUAUGAAUGUUAAAUGUAACGCAAACCCAUUAUCGUAACCGUUUUUAUUAAUGAGCUUGAAAAAAAAAAGUUAGUGAGCCACCUCUGAUUCUUCACACUUCAUUUGUAAUUGAUCACCGGCAAACUGGUGUCUGUGGACCACCCGCCUAAGAGUUGCAAUGUUUUCUCUAAAGACAUUGGUGGGGGUGAUAAACCCAGAGAGAUCAGCCUACUCUUAGGGGCCGGAUGAAGAAAUUCUAGUUUUAUUAACCCCAAUCUGCUCCUGGAUCGUGCAAAAACAUGACUUUUUUAAGCCUAUUAUGUUGGCCAAGAGAGUUAUUCUAGAUUGCAUGCUAUUGUCUUUGCACAGUCAGUAACUGAUGUACCACUCAAAACCAAAUAACAAUGAACUUUUGGGAAGGCACCUCUUAAAAUAGUCCCACGCACCAUCCAAUUCGAGCAGGCACGCAGCCAAAAGGGAGGCAGGUGAAAGUAACUGUGGGCAUUUCAUAGAGCACACCGACAAGGUGAGUCAGGGGGCUGCUGCAGGCCUCAGGCCGCCUCAUUAGCCAUGGAUGGAUGGCUGGACGAACAGGAACAAGUAGCUGGUGGGGUUUUGGUCCCUCACCAGCAAAAAGUACAAUUGAUUACGUCUUGCAUGCAAGGUUAUAUAUUUACAAAAUAAAUGUGAAAGUACGGUUAAGAUUAUUUCAGUCAGUGCCCCAUCAAUGACUGCUGUUGUCAAAGGCUGAAUCCUGCGUGAAGAACUAUGUUGAAGAAAAUGCCUCCAACUCCGCGCCAAGGAGGUUAAUCUAAAUUAACGCUCCUUAACACUCCUACAGCUGCAAGCUUGGCCUGGCUCUCAACAAAGCGUCAACGCUAUAAUCAUCACACCUCCACUUGAGAGGAAAUUACUAUGGAAGAAAUCUGGAAGGAUGUAGCCAAAAAAAUAUGAUGUACAAAACAUCCCGACCACAUUUUAAAAACAUUGAGAUAUUCCUUCCUUGUUCAGGCCAACCCUACAUUUUGCAGCCAGCCAAGCUCAACACAUCCCCCUAACCUCGACGAGCCGGGAUGGAACACCAUCAGGAACACCACCUCCUUGGCUGCGAGAGAGCUGAGAUAUAAGAUGGAGAAAAUGGAGGCUCGACCAUACGGGCAAGCAAAUCCUUGCGGUGCGUCAAGAAGAAAAUCUUUGUGCAGCAAGAUUUCAAUCCGAGUGUGAUAAGUCAUUUAAACGUAAUCACCUCCCAUAUGUCCGAGGCUCCCCGAGAGAUUACAGUGUGGCCAUGGCAACGAUGGAGGCGGAGAGAGGAAGGAGAUGACAGACACGGAAAACGUAAAAGUCAUUUUUACAGCACUCUGUUUGCAAUUCGGUAAAGCAAACAGAGAAAUAUACUUGUUUCUGUUCAUAUUCAUUUUGUUAGUUGUCAUUUUUUAAUGAAGGGAUGUUGUAAACGCCGCACAAAGCCAUAAGGUCAGUCGGCUGCAGGCCCCGCUGAGGAGAGGUGAGAGACCCAGUCAUGUGAAGCUGCUGUGCUGAUUUUAUUAUGUUUCACAGCCCUCACAGGAGAGAGGAAGCUGCUCUUUGGCUGGAAAGGCAGCCGUUGUUGUCGUGUAAUUAUUCAUUUUCCAGAAAAUGCGUAGUCUGACAGAAAUGUGUCAGGUCGGCAGGGACAAAUAAAAAAGUGUCAUACAGAAGAUGAUGAAAAUUGUUCACCAUUUUUGCUAAAAUUUUACAGACCAGGCAAGUUGAUGAUGAUGAAGUUGUUGGUAUGCAGCCUUAAUCCAACGUGGUGGAGCUCGACACAGAAUGGAAACAUGUGGAGUGUGACAGAAAGAUGCGAAGGAAAAAAAAAAGUAUAUUUAUAACUCUGGUUGUAUCUAGUAUAAUUAUAUCUAGUACAUCUAGUCCUGUAUGUCAAUACAUCCGACACGGUCCUAAAUACUCUCACAUAAUCACUACAGCCGACAGGCAGGUCUGCUUUGUCAGUGUCCUGGUAAUAUUGUACCAAGACUGUGGUUAUAUCACAAAUCCAAAAAUCCACACACUGUAUCAAGGGGAGGAGGGGGGGGGGGCUGGGACUAUCACACAGGCCUGUCAGAUUAUAAUGUCCAAAGCUUUAAAGGAGGAGGGGAGAAAGAAGAGAUUAGAGAUUAUCAUUUUAUAGUUGGGCAGUACUUGGGGGAAAAAAAGAGGACUUUGCUGUCAUGACAAGUAUUGAUUCUUAACCUUUUCACAGGGUGAUAAUAACCUGUGAGCCGCCGUCCCCGAAGGCCCGACAGAAAAGAAAAGGGAGGGAUGACACCACAGUGUGUUCUCUAUUUUCACCUGCGGCUCAAAGCAACAUUUUGGCAUUUUACAAGUGUCAAGCCAUUUCAUUUUCUCGUACAAAUGGCAACAGCAGCAAGGGGAGAAGACCAUAUUGCUUUGUGCUUCGGUUCCUUACAUAACACUUUAUGUUACCAUUAAUAAAAGCUGACAGUGUAAAAAAAGAAAAAAAAAAGCAGAUUCUGUUUGCAUUUCUGAACUGCAGCCGUAAUGAACGAUCAAUUGUGUGCAGAGACACAAGUGGCUUUAACCUCUCUGCCCUUCUAGGGGGGCUGUCACAGAGCACCGUAAAGGGCUCAAUCCCACCGUGCAACUUAACCACUUACCCGCGUGAACGGCACGGAGCCUCAAGCGCCAAUUGAUCGGCAUGUUACAGAAAACAAACCCCACGAGGGGGGGGGGGCGAGCCGUUUGCGCUGACACACUGGUUCUAAGGAGGCCGGGUUGUGGCGGCGUUUGUAUUUAGGGGGGGGGGGG
ensembl:lncRNA